AUACUUACCUGGCAGGGGAGAUACCAUGAUCACGAAGGCGGUUUUCCCAGGGCGAGGCUUAUCCACUGUACUCUGGGGAUGUGCUGACCCCUGCGAGUUCCCCAAAUGUGGGAAACUCGACUGCAUAAUUCGUGGUAGUGGGGGACGGAGAAAAAAAAGUAUAUGUGAAUUCAUU
rnacentral:snRNA from 1 species